rnacentral:piRNA from 1 species
CAGAAAGGUGACCUUAGAUACAAAAUGG